rnacentral:rRNA from 1 species
AUUGAACGCUGGCGGCAGGCCUAACACAUGCAAGUCGAGCGGGAACUUCGGUUCUAGCGGCGGACGGGUGAGUAAUGCGUAGGAAGCUACCCGAUAGAGGGGGAUACCAGUUGGAAACGACUGUUAAUACCGCAUAAUGUCUAUGGACCAAAGUGUGGGACCUUCGGGCCACAUGCUAUCGGAUGCGCCUACGUGGGAUUAGCUAGUUGGUGAGGUAAUGGCUCACCAAGGCGACGAUCCCUAGCUGGUUUGAGAGGAUGAUCAGCCACACUGGAACUGAGACACGGUCCAGACUCCUACGGGAGGCAGCAGUGGGGAAUAUUGGACAAUGGGCGAAAGCCUGAUCCAGCCAUGCCGCGUGUGUGAAGAAGGCCUUCGGGUUGUAAAGCACUUUCAGCGAGGAGGAAGGAGUUGUAGUUAAUAGCUGCAACUUUUGACGUUACUCGCAGAAGAAGCACCGGCUAACUCUGUGCCAGCCGCCGCGGUAACAC